CACACGUGGCUGUGUGGUUGAGAAGCGUAGUGUUGUGAUGUCGAGGUCAGACCAUCAGCUCUUCUUAGAGGAUGUUCUGGACCUCAGUGUAGAGAUGCAGGCUGUGGCACCUGACUUAAGAAUUGAACGAUUCAUUGUAAGAACAAGAGGCCAUGAAGAAGUGCUGUGAUUGGCUGUCUUCUGGACAAGGCAGGACCACAGCAGCUAAGGUUGCCUGGGAAAGACCAAGGUGACCAACAUUCCAGCUUCCAAGGUUGCCAUGGCAACCAAUAUUCCAGCAUGGAUGGAAAAGGGAUUUAGGAGGUCCCACCCCAGCUAAGUUGCUGUUGGCAGUUGAUGGCUACUGGCCAGGAAGAGUCAGGUUGUUGGGUUUUUCUCUUCAGGGAUAUGGUCCUCAGUGUGUUGGCCACUAGUGGAUGGCCCACACCCAUGUGUACACUGGCAACACUGAUCAGACUCAGUGGGUUAUUAACAAAAUAAAAGCUACUCAAGUAAGAGGGGUGUGGGAGAGGGGAAGAAUAAGGAUGGAUUUGGCAGGGCUUGGGAGGAACUCUGAUAAAAAGAAUUUGUUGUGUAUGUGCAUGAAGCCCUCACAGAAGAAAUAGAAACAGUCUUACAGAAACAUCCCAGUUGCUUUAGUGUGGAGGUUUCUACAAAGCUUGGAGCAUCGUUGCUUGGAAGGAGCCUCUCUUGUUGAAUUGGUGUGUUCCUGUGUCCCUUGGCAUGUGCUUAUGUAGGAUAAGGCCUGGGCUGUGCAGAGCAUCUGCGAAGUCUUGGAACCAUAUUACAUAUAUGCGAUUUUUUUUUUCUGCAUAAGGUAUCUGGAAUGUUCAUUUCCUGUUUCCCGUUCCCUCCUCAUCCACCCAGAGAUGGAAACUCUUGCUUCUUUGUCAUGCUCAGCUGGCUCGCUCUUCUUAAACCCAGAAACCUAACUUGAGGUUAAUAUAUGUGAUUGACGCCUCCUGAAUAUGUCACCCUCUUCAAAGAGAAGUUUAACUUGCAAAUGAGAUGAACAACUUAGGCAAACUUGGUAUCAGACCCGAUUUGUGGGUGAAUAUGGGGAUAGGGAUGACUUAGGCACGGGCUACUUACUUUUCAAAACUCUGUGACCACAAACCAGCUAAGGAGGUUACCACAGACAUCAUUCAGUGUCGUGUUAAAUUGUUGACUGAUGACCCAGGCCAAGAUGGCUGCUGUUUCCGUUCCGUCUCUGAUGUCACAGCACCUUGGGAUAAAGUCAGGCUCCCUGGUCUCAUGAACACUGCCAUGGACUAUCUUGGUGACAGAGAACCAUCAGUCCACGUAAACAUUUCUCAAAGAUAGCAAAAAGAAAUGUCUAAACAUCAGUUUCAUUUUAAAUUCUCAUGCUUUAUAACAAUCUUUUUUUUCCAAGAAAUCUCAUAAAAUUUAUGUGAUCAUAUUCUUCCUCCCACCCCUUCCCAAACUCCUCUUGCUCACCCACCCAAUUAAUUUGGAAGAUUACAUCUAGGCUCCUGGACCCUCUGAAGGCGUAGACAUGGCUCAUUCUGUGUAUUCUGCCCUGCAGUGUCCUGGAAGACAGUGUUAACAGGGACUCUGUGACAAUCAGAAAGGAACAGAGCCAGAAAGACCUGUCACUUUACACACUGGUUAAGGCCUGAAAGUGGCUGAAAUCAAUCGAGCCACCUACUGUGACAAAUUUAUAGUCAUUGAAGUCUAUCACCGAGGUUACUCUGUGAACUGCUUAGCCUGCCUCCCACCCCAAUACCCCCCCAACACACACACAAACCAGGUAAUUGUACAAAGAUUUCACUGCUUGGGGUUUCGGUGACAUUCCAAGGUUAGUGUAUGGAUGGUGGUCUACCUAACAGAAACAGGGCUUUGAGUUUUUACCCAAAAAUUUUAACUGAGGCUGGAAAGAGGACUCCGUAGAAAAGAGGGCUUGCAACCCAAGCAUAAAGACCUCAGUAUGAUUCCUGAGCACUUGCUUAAAAAGCGGGGCAUAAACUAGGCAGUGGUGGCUCACGCCUUUAAUCCCAGCACUCAGGAGGCAGAGGCAGGUGGAUUUCUGAGUUCGAGGCCAGCCUGGUCUACAGAAUGAGUUCCAGGACAGCCAGGGUGACACGAAAAAACCCUGUCUCAAGAAACC
rnacentral:lncRNA from 1 species